GCACGAGUGGCCGACUGGUAAGGCAAGCGACUCAUAAUCGCCGGUAUGUGGGUUCAAUUCCCUCCUCGUGCA
rnacentral:tRNA from 2 species